GACGAACGCUGGCGGCGGGCUUAACACAUGCAAGUCGAACGGAAAGGCCCUGCUUUCGUGGGGUGCUCGAGUGGCGCACGGGUGUGUAACCCGGGAGUAACCUGCCCUUGACUUUGGGAUAACUUCAGGAAACUGGUGCUAAUACCGGAUAGGAGCUCCUGCUGCUUGGUGGGGGUUGGAAAGUUUCGGCGGAUGGGGAUGGACUCGGGGGUAAUCAGCUUGUUGGUGGGGUAGUGGCUUACGAAGGCUUUGACGGGUAGCCGGCCUGAGAGGGUGACCGGGGACAUUGGGACUGCGAUACGGCGCAGAGUCGAACGGGAGGCAGCAGUGGGGAGUCUGGAACAAUGGGGGGAAGCGUGAUGAAGAAGCGUUGCGUUCGUGAUGAAGGCCAUCGUGUUGUAAACCGCUUUCGCCUGUGACGAUGCGGGAGUGACGGUAAUGGGUAAAGAAGCACCGGCUAACUACGUG
rnacentral:rRNA from 1 species